rnacentral:rRNA from 1 species
CACGUAGGGCGCAAGCGUUGUCCGGAAUUAUUGGGCGUAAAGAGCGUGUAGGCGGCUUGGUAGGUCCGCUGUGAAAACUCGAGGCUCAACCUCGAGAUGUCGGCGGAAACCACUUGGCUAGAGUCCGGAAGAGGAGAGUGGAAUUCCUGGUGUAGCGGUGAAAUGCGCAGAUAUCAGGAAGAACACCUAUGGCGAAGGCAGCUCUCUGGGACGGUACUGACGCUGAGACGCGAAAGCGUGGGGAGCGAACAGG